rnacentral:rRNA from 1 species
AGAGUUUGAUCAUGGCUCAGAUUGAACGCUGGCGGCAUGCCUAACACAUGCAAGUCGAACGGCAGCACGGUAGUGGGCAACCACUAUGGGUGGCGAGUGGCGGACGGGUGAGUAAGACGUAGGAAUCUACCUUAUAGAGUGGGACAACUUGGGGAAACUCGAGCUAAUACCGCAUGAGCUCUAAGGAGGAAAGCAGGGGACCGAAAGGCCUUGCGCUAUAAGAUGAGCCUACGGCGGAUUAGCUAGUUGGUAGGGUAAAGGCCUACCAAGGCGAAGAUCCGUAGCUGGUCUGAGAGGAUGAUCAGCCACACUGGGACUGAGACACGGCCCAGACUCCUACGGGAGGCAGCAGUGGGGAAUAUUGGACAAUGGGGGAAACCCUGAUCCAGCGAUGCCGCGUGUGCGAAGAAGGCCUGCGGGUUGUAAAGCACUUUGAGUAGGGAAGAAAAGGUGAGUGUGAAUAACGCUGACCAUUGACGUUACCUACAGAACAAGCACCGGCUAACUCUGUGCCAGCAGCCGCGGUAAUACAGAGGGUGCAAGCGUUAAUCGGAAUUACUGGGCGUAAAGGGCGCGUAGGUGGUUAUUUAAGUUAGAUGUGAAAGCCCCGGGCUUAACCUGGGAAGAGCAUCUGAUACUGGAUAGCUAGAGUAGAGGAGAGGGAAGUGGAAUUUCCGGUGUAGCGGUGAAAUGCGUAGAUAUCGGAAAGAACACCAGUGGCGAAGGCGGCUUCCUGGACUCAUACUGACACUGAGGCGCGAAAGCGUGGGGAGCAAACAGGAUUAGAUACCCUGGUAGUCCACGCUGUAAACGAUGAAGACUAGAUGUUGGUGGGGUAAACCCAUCGGUAUCGAAGCAAACGCGAUAAGUCUUCCGCCUGGGGAGUACGGCCGCAAGGUUAAAACUCAAAUGAAUUGACGG